rnacentral:lncRNA from 1 species
UCUGUAACACUCCAUUCCAUUUGAAUCAAUAAAACUCUGUUAUUUUGCCCUGUUAUUUCCAAAUUUUGUUUUACUGUGAUUGGUUUCUAACAGAGAUCUUAUGUACUGGUGUAUUAAUAACAUUUGGUUGAAAACACGUUGAGUGUGAUUCCUUCUGCUUGCCUUUUUCUGCAUUUAGAUUACUGACACAAUCAGACAAUUGUGUACGUUCUUUCUGCCAUGUGCUUUCGCUUUCUUGGUUGUCUAGGCAGUCGGAUUCAUGGGAUGACAGCGAGUUUUUAGAUGGACUCAUGAACUUGCUCAGUCUAGUCAGUAACAUUUUUUAGAAAAAUGUCUUCUAAAAGAUGGACUCAAAUGUAAGUUGUUCAGCGACAGUUCAACUUCACUGCAAGUCGAUGAAAGUUCCGUUGACAGUGACCAAUGCUCUCUUCUGCCUGCAUUGAGAAACCAAGUUACAUGAAUGAAAUCAUUUACAAGUUAAAAAAUUCUAUAAUAACAUUUUAAAACUCUUCCAUGAUUUUUUUUCAAGUGCGGAGGUGAAAAGAAAAUAUUGUACACAAGGUUAUGUUUAAUGUUAAGAAUUAUUAAAACUAAGCGAAAAUUAAAGAUUUCUGGAAAAUGAUGUCACAUUGUCUUAAAAUAAUGAAAGAAAUUAACACAAUCAUAGAAAGCUUUGUGACAAGGUAAAAUGAAUUCUUAAAAUUGAGUAUUGGGCCUAAGUCAUCCUUACAAAACCGACUUGUAAGGUGAGGAUUGCCUCUAGUAUAUUAACACUUCAGGCCAUCUCUCAACCGAUGUGGGAAUCUUAACGCACCCUCUCAUGCCCAGCACUAUUGGGCUUGGUACGUGGAUAUAAAUGGUAGGUGGCCUGAUAGUGGAAACCUGAUAACACGUGGCCCAAAGGAUCGUGGACAGGCUCUAAUACCAUCUUAGAAUUUGGGAGGCCUAUACUCAACCACAAAAGCUAGCUUGAGAGUCGAGGUUUGCACUACACUUAUAAAGGGUAUCUCUAUGCCAUAUCUCUAGCCAAUGUGGGACUUCUAACACACCCCCUCACGUCCAGGACUGAACAAGCUGGAAUGUGGAACCAACAACAACGGGUGUCCCAAAUAUGGGAGGUCUCCACAACAAACAACAAAUGGAUCUAGGAUAGGCUCUGAUACCAUCUUAAAAUUGAGUAUUAGGCCUAAGUCAUCCUUACAAAACCGGCUUGUAAGGUGAGGAUUGCCUCUA